ACGAACGCUGGCGGCGUGCCUAAUACAUGCAAGUAGAACGCUGAAACUUGGUGCUUGCACCGAGCGGAUGAGUUGCGAACGGGUGAGUAACGCGUAGGUAACCUGCCUGGUAGCGGGGGAUAACUAUUGGAAACGAUAGCUAAUACCGCAUAAGAGUAGAUGUUGCAUGACAUUUGCUUAAAAGGUGCAAUUGCACCACUACCAGAUGGACCUGCGUUGUAUUAGCUAGUUGGUGGGGUAACGGCUCACCAAGGCGACGAUACAUAGCCGACCUGAGAGGGUGAUCGGCCACACUGGGACUGAGACACGGCCCAGACUCCUACGGGAGGCAGCAGUAGGGAAUCUUCGGCAAUGGACGGAAGUCUGACCGAGCAACGCCGCGUGAGUGAAGAAGGUUUUCGGAUCGUAAAGCUCUGUUGUAAGAGAAGAACGAGUGUGAGAGUGGAAAGUUCACACUGUGACGGUAUCUUACCAGAAAGGGACGGCUAACUACGUG
rnacentral:rRNA from 1 species